GUCCUUGCACCAUGCCAAAGCAUCUUCAAAAAAGCCUCUUUGUAGUUAAGCCUUUAAAAGCUUACCCCACAGAGGAGAUACAACUCCUCUCUCUACCUUGCUGCAAGGGGUCAUUUGGAGAUAGGGGUUUCAAACAUGUUUGUAUGAUGCUGAUUAAACCUUGCUUAUUACAGUCUGGGCCUCUCUGGUGAUCUCACUCUGGGGGUCAUAAUCUGGACACAACAUUUGGUGUAUUGGCCCGGAACCACAGAGAUUCCAGCAGGAUGAUGGAAGCCCGGAGGUUUAUUAGCAUCUACCGAUGUUCCCUGAACUGGAUGCGCUUGUACAGAGAGACCCUGGAGAAGCAAGGGACGCCUUGUCUUUCCUUUUCAGACAGUGAUGGAUCAUUUCCAGACAGGGGCUUUGCUGGCCCCGGGUCAUUUCCAGACAGAGAUGGGAAUUCUCCCAGUCCUGGGUCAUUUCCAGACAGGGUCCUUAUUGGCCCCAGGUCACAACAGACAGGGAUGGGAAUUCUUCCAGUCCCACGUCAGUAGACAGGAUCAUUUGUAGCUACCUCGGAGACAGCUGUUUGGGUUUUUCCCACCUUGGGAGAAAAUGUCACUAUAUGUCUCAUUCCGGAAAUUUGUCAGCCUCUUUGUGUUAUGUUAUGGUGAUUGCUGCUUUGUUUUCUUUCUCUCUUGACUUCCAUCCUCGAACAUCCUAGGGCCCCUAUGGAGCCCCAGCCUCUUUCCCCCAGGCUUUAGGGAACUGGGGACUGAGAGAGUAGGGAGUGCGUGCCUUUGACUUGGAAUGUCUUUAGGAGCCACUACAUUGGGCAGAUGGUGAUCCCCUAAAGUUCCAGGAAACUGUUGUCUCCUGUAUAUUAUGUUUAAGACUGGACUGACAAGGACUAAAAAAAAAAAAAAAAAAAAAUGGGACAAAACUUAAAUGUGAGAAUGCAGGUGACUUGGCAGCAGGCCAUCUAGGGUCUGUGUCCCUAGCCCUGAGCCAGGUCUGAUGGCAGGGAACACACUGCUUGGGUGCUGAGAACUAAACCUUGAGACUGCGGGAUAUUGCAAUGUGGCAGAGGAUCUGGGUGGGGCCUGCGGGGCCCUGAGGCCAGGGAGCAGGGACACCUGGGAUGGAGCAGGUGGCAAAGUCUCAGUGCACCCAGCUGAGGGCAGACGGAUGCCUCUUCAGAAGGCAGGCAGUAGAGCUAGUGCCUGAGAGAGGCCGGUUGGAGCAAAACAGGGCUGCCCCGUCUCCCUUGUUCUCUCUGUAUCCUGAGGGUCUGUGCCUUGGGCAGGAGAGAGGGACCUGCGCUGGGGUGACGGGAAAUUGACCACAUGCAAUUAAGAAACUGGGCAAAUAAAAAACAAAAAAUCUGAGAUCAUGGGGAAAAAAAGUCAACAAAAAAACGUUUUUUAGAAACAUUGGCAACCAAGGACACUAUGCCCACUGCUGCUGCCCCCUCUUCUUUUCUGAGCCAAGUUCUUCAAUAUGAUAACACUCAAGGUCUCUUCUGCUGGCCAGCAGUUUCCCAUAUUAACCCUUUUCUGCCGUGAUACAACUUAUAAGAAAUUUUAAAUUGUACCAACCUGUAACUUUAAAAAGCAUUAAUUUUAAAGUAAAGUCAAAGAUGCAUUAUGUUUGGGAAUGCUUUUGUUUCCACAGGAAGAAAAACAUAUGGGUUACAAAUUUAUCACCUUUGGUUAAGAUACAUAUUUCUGCUAUUGUUUUAUGUAAUGUUCUGCUAGAUAAAAAUCACAAGAAAAAACUUUAAUAAAAUUUACAUAUUGUCUAAAAAGCAAAAAAAGGCAAAAGACUAAAAUAAUAAUAAAUAAAAAAGUUUGUCUAAAAAUGUCUGGCUUAAACAAUAAAACAGCGAAAAAGAGAGAGAGAGAGAGAGACCUAAAACUUGCAAAAGGUAUAUAAAAUGUCGCAAAAGGUAUAAAAAAAGGUUGUAAAAGGCCAAAAGAUGUUUGCUGUAAUUUCUUGUACCUAAAUGUUUAAUGGUUAAUUCUGGUUUUAAAAAGUUUUGUUUGUCAUGCUUAUUUCCUUAAACAAUUAUAUAUGCUUGUUUUGUUAAAAAAAAUUAACCUUUGGUAAUUAUAAGUUUUGUACUUGUAAUUUUUCUCUGAGCUCUGGUCAUUAGAUUUGGGUUCACAAAAGUUUAAAUGUCUUUUUGAUAUAGAUAAUGUUAAAAACAGUUUUAUGCCGUUCUUUAUUGAUACACAAGAAUGUCAGUUACUACUGGGAAUAGCUGAGACUAGAUGCCCAAAGAAACAACAGUUACAAGAAAAAGCACCAAUGCCAGGUAAUAGUCCCCAAAAGCAUCAGCUACAAUAAAAUAGGUUAUAAAACAUAUAUGCUUAUAAAAUGUUUCAUAUUGUUAAUGUUUAGAUUUUAGCUUCAUUGUCUGCCUAAAUCCUUAAUUUAAAGGUUCAACCUGACAAAAAUAUGGUAUAUGGUUUUGGUUUGUUAAAAAUACAAGUUAAUAAUCAGUCAUCCUUAAAGUACUGAUGUAAGUACAGGGAUAGGCCUUAUUUAGUCCCCUAAAUAUAUGUUUUAAAGCUUAAAACAAAUAAUACCUGGACAUCCCUAAAUAUAGAAAAUGGUAUUUAAAAUAAUGUUUAAAAAGCUUGUAUCAGACAGAGACUCCCAGAUCCUAACAGUGACCCAAGGUCUCCAAAGAAGACUAUGGGACACCACAAUGUCUCCACAUGGAUAACAACAAUGCUGACCGCUGGGCAAGAUGCUACGACCUGCUGCCAGGACCCAGCCCAGACUGUGGACAAACAGUAGGACCUUGGAGAAUUGAUUGCAUCACUUUUGCCUAGACAAAAUAAUGUUUUCCCAGGAAGAUGGUGGCCUUCCCCUCUCCCACCCAGGAGAUUCCGAGCACAAGGUCACUUAGCUUAGCCCAGCCAGACUCCUGGUACAGGCUGAUAAAGAUGGCCUAACUCAGGAACAGUGGCCUUGUUCUAAGAACAAGAAAAAAGCUGAUUUAGCAAAUUGGGAGGGAGCAAAGGUCCUUGCACCCAUGCCAAAGCAACUUCAAAAGACCUCUUUGUAGUUAAGCCUUUAAAAGCUUACCCCACAGAGGAGAUACAACUCCUCUCUCUACCUUGCUGCAAGGGGGUCAUUUGGAGACAGGGGCUCCAAAAAUGUUUGUAUUAUGCUGAUUAAACCUUGCUUAUUACAGUC